CAGUCGCCGCGGGAAUACGAAGGGGGCUAGCGUUGCUCGGAAUUACUGGGCGUAAAGGGCGCGUAGGCGGACAGUUAAGUCGGGGGUGAAAGCCCGGGGCUCAACCUCGGAAUUGCCUUCGAAACUGGCUGUCUUGAGUACGGGAGAGGUGAGUGGAACUCCGAGUGUAGAGGUGAAAUUCGUAGAUAUUCGGAAGAACACCAGUGGCGAAGGCGACUCACUGGCCCGUUACUGACGCUGAGGCGCGAAAGCGUGGGGAGCAAACAGGAUUAGAUACCCGCGUAGUCCCUGUCUCUUAUAA
rnacentral:rRNA from 1 species